CAGCUCGGUUGAAUGCGGAUGGUAAACUCGGAAAGUGAUCAUUUUAAAGUUUCGCCUUAUGUAACAAAAUGUUGGUAUGUUCAAUGAUCAAAUUCAUUAGAGCAACAGACAAAUGGGUGCUAGGUACAAGAAAACAAGUUGAAAAGUUUUUUAAAGGUCAAUGUAUUUGACGUACUUGCACGGCGAAAACGAAACGAAAGCAAGUUUUACAUUUGAGCUGCCUACUGCCGAAGAGUUGGUAUUCUGUUCCUCAUGUUCAUGCGGAAAUCUGUCAAACUCCAUAUAAAUAAAAAACGUAGCAGCUAAAAAUAUGUGUAAAAAAUAAAAGCAUUUUUUAGCUAAUGGCUUAAAAUGAGCAUUUAAAACAAAUAAUCGUAGUGUUAUAUGAAGAUUGCGAUAAUACAAAAAACAUCAUGUAAUUAUGUUUAAAAAAAAUGAUUAAAGUUUUUCACAACUAUUCCGAAAGCAGAACAGAAUACUCCGCUUUAAAGAGACUAUAUUGAUUUGGAAAACAACGUGAUCUAGAUUUCGUGGUAUUGUGCGCAAAACGCUAAGAUUGGUAUAUAUCUGCGAAAACUUGAACGUCUACCUCGACGAACUUGCCUCACAUUUCGCUGUAAGAAAUCUGAAGAUAUCUGCCACCAAAACUUCAGCCACAUUCUUCAAUACAAAUACGCGUGAGGUGAAUACCAAGCUGACUGUGAUGGUCGAUGGAGGAAUGGUUUCGACCAUCAAGUGUCCCAAAAUACUUGGCGUCACAUUUGACAGCUCUUACACAUUCUCCUCACGUCACAGCAAUUUGCAAUAAAGUCAAAAGUAGAAACAAGGUCCUCAAGUCACUUGUCGGUCUAUAGUAAGUUAUGCAGCGCCAGUGUGGUCUCGUCAGCUUUGUGGAACACAAUGGAAUAAUAUUCACAUCUGUCAGAAUGCAGCCAUCCGAACUGCGACGGGCUGUCUCCUCAGUUCUCAUGUGGACCACCUCCAUCAGGAGACAAAGAUCCUUCCAUUGCGAAGACAUAGCUAGAUGCUGUCCAAGCAAUACAUUUUGGGCUGUUAUCGCAGAGGCAUAUCAAGUGGGUCUAGACAACAUUCAUGCAGACACGGUGGCAGGUAGUCCUUGGAGAACGAUCGCCUCCCAUUGCACCUGAAGAAAUUGACCUCCCCCUGCAAACCAGUGUAGUUCUGGCUCAAUUACGUUCCGGCAGAAGCAGACGCCUCAAUUCCUACAGAACAAAGGUUGAUGCCGACGUGCACACCACACGAUACACGUCACCUUUCUAACUGCCCAGCCAGACUAACUCGACUCAGACACAGAUCCCUCUGGACGCAUCCCAUCAUAGUCCCAGAGUUCCUGGAUCUUGACACUUAACAGAACAGACGAAAGCUAAAACACAACAAACUGCUACAACAACAACAACAUUGACGGUAUCCACGACAAUAAAGAGAGGCUAACACAGGAAAGAC